GGUGCCUCUGUACCUGCCGGGUUUGUCCCUGAGGGCCCUAGGGUGUCCCUGCUGCAUCAGGGAAAUCAGGAGACUUUGGGUCUUUCCAUUCACGAAGGGCAGCUCCAGCCCAAGUGUCCUGGGCCCUGUGAAAGGUGCGGCCUGUCCUGUUCCACACCCAGCAGGUGUGGCUGCUCCUCCCAUGGUGACAGUUCCUCUUAGGUGUUGGCAUUUACUUAUUUUUCAAUAAAGCACUUUCACCCACGUCGCCUCCCAGUCCCCAGGAGGACAGCAGGGCGGGUUCCUGUCGCCUGGUGUCCCCCCCCCCCCCGUGAGCAAACUAAGACCAGGCCUUUCAAUGGCUCACGUUCGAGGUCUCAGCUCCUAAGGGGUCGAGUCGGCCCUCGGUCCAGGGCGCCGGGCAUCCAUCGGCCUGUGCCAUGGGGUUCCCCUGACCCAGACUGACGUGACCAGAGAAGCUCACUAAAUUCUGUCCCAGGGCAAAGGGAUAAGAGGGGAGAGGCUGUCACUCACUCUCCCCUGGCCACCUGCCGCAGGAAGUCGCUCAGCUGCUCCUCUUUGGAGGAAGGUAGUCACCCCUGGAACAGGGGCACCCCACCUGGGAGACCCCUUCGCUGGGGCUGACAAGAGCACACACCCAGAAAGGGAUCCGACCACCUCGCCGUGGGCACAGGACCCUCUGGGAGACCCUCGGGGUUCACCUCGCCACCCGCGCCACCUGAGGGGUAGGGAUGGAGUGCUUGGUCAUGAGUAUGGCUUGACUUCUUUUUUGUGACCUUUCUUUAAUAGCAGAGGUCACCCAGGACCAGGGUGCUCCUGUGUACUGUAUAUGGCACUUGACGCUUGGGAUAUUUUACCAGAUUUUUAAAGAAUUAUUAUUUUCAUGAAAUAUGAGACACCAUUUCAACAGUCCUGUCCUAUCUACCUGGCGUCUGUGAUUAAGCAUCUACCUGCGAGUCCUCCUUCUAGACACAAAGGAGACCGAGGAGAAGGGGAGCUUCCAACUCCUCCCAAAUAUCCUGCUGAACAAAGUCCCCAAGCUGCCUUAAUUCUCAGAGGGAUUUUUUUUCCCAAGUGGGAGCCAAUAUCCUGCCGUAUGAUUUGUCUUCCAGUCUGAUAGUGUAAGACGGGAGCAUUCUCACCAAAGAAGUCAUUUCCUAUAGGAAUUUCCUAGAAGAAUCCCACUGGAUCCACUCUAUAUGUUUGUUUAUUUCUUUUGAAAGCUACAGAAUGGAAAAGAACAGAGAGGGUGUUAUGGCGUUGUGAAAAUAGCACAGCAUUUAGAGUUGCACAGACCUGGGUCUGUGGCUAACUAGCUGGGUGCACUGGGGUGAGUGGCUUCACUUCUUUGGGUGUUAAGGCCCUUGUGUGUAAAAUCAGGGAUUAUAUCAGAUAAUCAAAGGUCUCAUUCACUUAAAAAAAAAAAGCCUCUGCAUGUCUCCAUGACAAUAUUCUUGUGCUAAAUUUAUGGUGAAGAUAGCAUGUCCCUAACUGCAGGGCUUCCCAAAGCGAUCCCGUCACCAAAGACCUACUGAGCUUAAAAAUAUCAAAUUUCCAAGACACUUGCUGUUUGAAUAAAAGAAAAGUCUGACCCUUUGUCUUGAGGCCUGUUUUGUGGAAUUGGAGGCUGGCUGUGGAGUCCCAUGGUAUUGGAGGCCAGUUGAGGAGUCCCACUCUGUCCCCGGACGUCCCAGGACUGUAGCCCUGCCGAUGGGCCACUCGGGCUUGCUGGUGACUAUGAAGUCGUUCCUGGGGUGCCUGCUGUCGUCCCUCUGUCUCUGUUUCUGUGUAAACAAGGAAUGUUUCAAUAGUGUCCUCUCUGAAUCACGGGCCGUUUGGUGUCAUGCAACUCUCUAUGUCUGGUUGAGUUUAUUUUAAAAGUUGUUCUCUUCAUAGAAAUAUAAGUGUACAGAAUAAUAAAGGAUAUUUCCUGUGCCCCGUA
rnacentral:lncRNA from 1 species